UUUCCGUUAAUUUCUAAGGUGCAUUCCUGAGCUUAAAUCAAGUAACUUUCUCAGUGACACCGAUAUUCUAAUUAACUCCAUUUCGGAGAUAUUCAAUUUUUUUUCCUAUAAGGCCUCUACAAGCGUAUACACUUGCCUUAGGGCCGGUUUACAUAUUGAUUAGUGUUAAUAAUGAGUUCAUACAUUUGCUACUAAACUUAAGCACAAUCUCGGUCGAUCGAUGUUCCAAAUGACAUUGAUAUGUCACAGAUUUCAAUUGUUUGGUUGAGUUAAAUGUAAUGCCCGUGUUACAACAACGCUAUAUGCUACAUUUAAUUACUUUUUA